GGAUGUGAGGGCGAUCUGGCUGCGACAUCUGUCACCCCAUUGAUCGCCAGGGUUGAUUCGGCUGAUCUGGCUGGCUAGGCGGGUGUCCCCUUCCUCCCUCACCGCUCCAUGUGCGUCCCUCCCGAAGCUGCGCGCUCGGUCGAAGAGGACGACCAUCCCCGAUAGAGGAGGACCGUUCUUCGGUCAAGGGUAAACGAGUAGCUGCGCUCCCCUGCUAGAACCUCCAAACAAGCUCUCAAGGAUGAGCAACUAAGACCACCUCUGUGGGUAGCUAGGGCUUGAUCUCACUCACAGGCACACACAGAUUUCCUCUUGGAAUUAUU
rnacentral:snRNA from 1 species